UUUGCACACAGAAAAGCUUUUUCCAUGAAUCAUAUGGAAAACGAUGGUCACUAUCAAGUGGCAGCCCAACCAAUGAAUAUCUUUGGUGUUCUUAAUCCAUCAAAAAUGAAUGAAUCGCUGGGAAGUAAAAGAAUGGAGAUGCAUCUCACAUUGAUCAUGUUCUUCGUGAGACACAAGAAAUCAAAUGGAUCAUCUGUGGAAAAAGGGCAAGGCUAAUUAGUGAAGAGUUCGAAAAAUUUAGCUGGUUUUUUAUCAAUGGAUCAUUGACAGCUAAAAGUAUCUUUUUUUGGUUAACAUACGGAUCAAUAUAUCUAGGUUUCAAAUUAUAGCUGUUUUAUGAAUUCUUGUUGAACUUUAAUAUUUCAUUUUAUUUUAUUAAAGUUUGUCA